rnacentral:rRNA from 1 species
CCUACGGGUGGCAGCAGUGGGGAAUAUUGGACAAUGGGCGAAAGCCUGAUCCAGCCAUGCCGCGUGUGUGAAGAAGGCCUUCGGGUUGUAAAGCACUUUCAGUGGGGAAGAAGGCCUUUAGGCUAAUACCCUCGAGGAAGGACAUCACCCACAGAAGAAGCACCGGCUAACUCCGUGCCAGCAGCCGCGGUAAUACGGAGGGUGCGAGCGUUAAUCGGAAUUACUGGGCGUAAAGCGCGCGUAGGCGGUUUGAUAAGCCGGUUGUGAAAGCCCCGGGCUCAACCUGGGAACGGCAUCCGGAACUGUCAGGCUAGAGUGCAGGAGAGGAAGGUAGAAUUCCCGGUGUAGCGGUGAAAUGCGUAGAGAUCGGGAGGAAUACCAGUGGCGAAGGCGGCCUUCUGGACUGACACUGACGCUGAGGUGCGAAAGCGUGGGUAGCAAACAGGAUUAGAUACCCGGGUAGUC